rnacentral:rRNA from 1 species
UACGUAGGCAGCAAGCGUUGUUCGGAUUUACUGGGCGUAAAGCGCGCGCAGGCGGUUCGGUACGUCCGGCGUGAAAGCUCCCGGCUCAACUGGGAGAGGGCGUUGGAUACGGCCGGACUGGAGGGCGGUAGAGGUCGGUGGAAUUCCCGGUGUAGUGGUGAAAUGCGUAGAGAUCGGGAGGAACACCUGUGGCGAAGGCGGCCGACUGGCCGUCCCUGACGCUGAGGCGCGAAAGCGUGGGGAGCGAACCGG